CCCAAUCCCCGCGCUUGCUCCGCUUCCAAUCCUCCCCGCGUUGCUGCUCCAGAGCCCACACCCGCUCCAACCCUAGCCGCCACACCUCUCCUUCCUCCUCGCUUGACACCAUAGGCGCUGCACCCCCUCCCCUCCUUCCUGCUCGGGCGGAUAGCCGCCGGCCGCCGCAUUCCUUCUCCCCCUUCCUCCUCCUUCCUCCUUCCCGCUGGAGCCCCUCGCCCUCUUCCUCGGACAAGGGGCCUUCCACAGGAAUGGCCACGUCUUCAAACAAGGGGUAGUGGAGCAGGGGAGGACCAAGAAGCCGGCACUAGGGGUGGAGCAGCCAGGCGAAGGAGGACCCAGGUGGUGGAUGUGUCAAGGGGACUUCUCAGAGCCGGCGGGGAGCACGUCACCGUAGGCGUCAAGGGAGCCAUGGAGAAGCCGUCAGGAGGAGAAAGCUCCCAGUUUGUGGAGGAGACUAUGAGGCAUUUUUCCAGGUGGUGUUUUGGAAUCUAGAUUGAUUUGGUAUUGUAUGUUGUGUGAUGUGCCCUUGCCAAGAAUAUUUGAUGUGUGUGAUGACUGAUGACACAAGCAAUUGUAGAGCUGUGAACACCAUGCUUGAUUAGUGGACUGCCGCUUGAGAAGAAGCUUGUCAUUUGUCUCUUCGAGCCGCGGUGGAUAGGGGCCUUCGAAGAACUUGGGGUUUGACAUAGCCAUCGAGGAAGUGCAGGAUACAAACCAAGUGUAAUCAAAGAGGAUAUGAAUUCAGUACGACCAUGAGUGAAGGAACGCUACUCCAAUUUGGAUCUUGGAGAAUGUUUUCUCAGUGUGGUUCAGGUUAAAUUGUUGUCCUACUGUUCCUGCUCAGCCUCCUAAUGUUCUAUGUCUUCGCUGCGCCUUCUUCCAGCUUCUCUAUUGGUUUUCUCUUCACACCGAUGAAAGUGCAUGUUCCUCCCUUCCUCCAAAUCUUCUCCGGCCAUGGUUGUUUGCAUCUGGUCACAGUUGUUUCAUGUUUCACUUUUGUUGGUGGUUCACGCGUCGGCCUUAGUGCUCUAAGCAAACCAACAUUUCUCAUCUUGGCGAUUGUAUUAUUGGGGCUUUUCUACAUCUAUAGGUUUGAAUCUCAUGUGGCUCCUGCGCCCAACCACCAUCUCCUCCCUAGCUAAGCAAGAGGUUCAAAGGACACCGCUACAUCUUCCUUGCCGCCCAGCAGGAGGGGCACUAGGUGUGCCUCAUGUUUAGUUAAUGCCCACUGAUUGUGAUGUUCAUUCUAUGGGGAAUUUUGUUUACUUUUUAUAUUUUGUGCAUUUUCUAUUUCAUGUAUUGGUCAGUGGUCCUAAAUCCCAUGUGAUUUCUUCAUUCUUCAGGAAAAGUACAUAUCAGGAGAGCCAUUUAUUAGAGGAUCUUCUUGAUGGUUUUUUACAUUUGGUUCCUGAUGUUCUGCUUCUUGGGGUUUGCUCAUUUCCUUUCUAGCUAGAAAUACCAUAUUUUCCUCUUUGCGUGUACUGACUUGGUGUUUGGUUCGCUGCUUGUCUUAAUAUUCUGGAUUUAGCUGGGCAUCAUGUUUUGUUCAGCCUCAUGCUCCUAAGUGUAUCUCACACUGUAUAGGAAUCUGUCAUGCGGGGACCUUGCCUUUUAUGCUUCUUCUUGAUAAUAGAAGUAUUGAAUAUACCUGUUUCUUCUGCUCAAACAUUUUGGCUAAGUGGCGAUAUUCCAAAUAAAUGGAUGUAUCUUGAACAAAGGAGAUGUCUGAUGGUUUCUUAAUUUCGUUGACUAACUAGGGAGUUCAAGGAUGAUGACUAAAGUUUUGUCAUUACUGGCUAAUACUUGGCGACGAUGUGUCCAUCAGAAAUGAUCCGAUUAUCCUCUGUUGUAUUAUAUUUUCUACUUUUUUUGUAAAUAUGUAUGGAUGUACAUGCACACUCUUUCGAUGUCUGAAAAUGACCGUCAUCCCUCAGUGGGCAAAGAUGAUUUUGUUGAACAGUUUCAGUAUCUGUUACAUAGCGUAUUCUUUCCAAUGUAGAAGGUAGCAGCCGACUCUGCAUUGCUGUGGUGCUUAUAUUAUGGAGUAGUUAAGUUAUUCUCCCUCUGUAAAGAAAUAUAAGAGCGAAACACUCUUAUAUUUCUUUACAGAGGGAGUAUUCCACAAUAUUUAGGAUGUCAACUUUCAGCCAAUUGGUUAGUGGAUGUAAGAGCAUCUCUAGCCGAUCCUUAAAAAUCUUUAGCGGAUAGUCUAGUCGUAUACAAGCUGACUGCUCCUCAGGAAGGCUUGCUAUAGGUUACCAAACACUAGCAGGCGAGGUAUGCACUUGAACUUAUUUGCUCUGAAUUAUGCUAUCUAUUUGAUCUGCUAGCUAUUUUAUUGCUUCAUUUCUCCCUGAUCGCAUUUUUGUAUACAUGCACGCACUCUCAUUUCAAAAAUCAGUGACGGUCUCCUUCCAGCUGCACUGCUACUGCAAUUGAACAGCGAUUUAUACUUAGACCGCUUGCUUGCGCUUGAUGUGUCUGUUUUCUAUUCUAGCAAAUCGUCAUGCCCUAGGCACAGUGCCAAACACGUCUUGUUUGUGGCUGACCCCAAAAGGACUUCUGCACUAGAAGAACAUGUCCUCAAGGCCGUGACAAAGCAGCAGAGGUUAUAUAAUUUACAUAUCUGGAACUGCUUUAGACCAUUGGUGUUAUCAGUACGACGAAUUUCGGUCCUAUAACUGAACUAUUCCUUUUCCCGUUGUAUUUAUAAGUGACAUGUGUGUGGUUUUUUGCAGUACAUAGUAUAUGUAUGCAUUUCUUCAGUGGGGAGAUUAGUGCAUGAUGUCAUAUACACAAUUCAGAAAAUUUGUUUGAUAAUACUUAAGUGUAGGUUAGUCUAUUCUUUCAAGGAGAAAAGAGUAGGUCAAAUUAAUGAAAGACUGAGGUUGUUUGACGGCCGGACCAAGAAGAGCAAGGAGCCAACAAUGGUCAAUUUCUUGCAUCCCAUCCUGGACUCUAAAAGAUUUCAGUUUGCUAUAGGCUAUAGUUUGACUUUUUGCUUCUUGAAGUGAAUGGUAAAGCACCAUGUUGGUUACAUUAGAUUUGUUUGUCAGGCUUGUCUAAAGUCAAUAAUUUCUUGAUCCAUUUUCAAUUUAAGUAAACCAUCCAUAUAAUCAUGAUUUGUUUACCCUAUUCGGUGUUUCUGUUGUGCUUUGUUUUUGUUUGAAGGUUUGGGCUGGAUUGGAUAUCCAAAUGUUUGUGAAUUAUACUUGAUUAAUUGCUUGCUAAAACAAAGAAAGCAUCCAGCAGCACCUCAACCAGGUGUCACAAGAGAACUGAACUAAAUUUCUCAGCUACACAUGUAGUCUUAACAUUGCUAGCUGUUGUCCCUAGAAAUCAUUUAUAGCUGUUGUAUAAGGAUAUUGUAGUUUAUCUUAGUAGGGAAUAGUGUGAUGUUUUCUCUAUUUAAAUUCUAACAUUUUAAACCUCAAACAGAUGGGUUCGUUUGGGAAGGAUCUUGAGCUGUUAGACUCAGCUAGAAUUUUGCCAAUGAGAAUUAGAGACCAGACAACUGCACUUAAGCUUGCUAAGCUACCCAUUUAUUCCUUCUAUUCGUUGAUUAUAGGAACAACACAUGCAUUCAUCAUACAAACCUGCAGCUUAUGUGCGAUAAGAUGGACUCGACAUAAAGAAGUUUCUCUUCGUCUGCUCUGAUUUUUGAGCCAAGACCCUUGGGAGUUUGUCUAGCCUCAUUAUCAAAAGUGUGCAUCAGUUAGUUAUGACCUCAUCUCUUCAGUGAGAUGUUUUCCUCCAUGAAGGAUAUCCCUGACGAUCACAGGGAAUGCUCCAAACAAAAGAAAAUAAUUGUAUCAGCCUGCGAAGCGUAAAUGCUGGACUAUUGUUUCUCCCCUGAUGCACAUGUUUCGCCACAGACAAUAUAGUGUGUGUGUGUGUGUGUGUGUGUGAUCUCUGAAAUUAGUUUUUAGGUUAUUCUAUGUGUUGAGUACUUCUGUAAUUUCCACGGGCGUGUUUCAUAUUUUCUGUGUAUUGUCUAUCAUUCUUUUAAUCGUUAAUAUUUCUUGUAGUUUUUCA